rnacentral:rRNA from 1 species
UGGGGAAUUUUGGACAAUGGGCGAAAGCCUGAUCCAGCAAUGCCGCGUGUGUGAAGAAGGCCUUCGGGUUGUAAAGCACUUUUGUCCGGAAAGAAAUCCUUGGCUCUAAUACAGUCGGGGGAUGACGGUACCGGAAGAAUAAGCACCGGCUAACUACGUGCCAGCAGCCGCGGUAAUACGUAGGGUGCAAGCGUUAAUCGGAAUUACUGGGCGUAAAGCGUGCGCAGGCGGUUUGCUAAGACCGAUGUGAAAUCCCCGGGCUCAACCUGGGAACUGCAUUGGUGACUGGCAGGCUAGAGUAUGGCAGAGGGGGGUAGAAUUCCACGUGUAGCAGUGAAAUGCGUAGAGAUGUGGAGGAAUACCGAUGGCGAAGGCAGCCCCCUGGCCAAGUACUGACGCUCAUGCACGAAAGCGUGGGGAGCAAACAGGAUUAGAUACCCUGGUAGUCCACGCCCUAAACGAUGUCAACUAGUUGUUGGGGAUUCAUUUCCUUAGUAACGUAGCUAACGCGUGAAGUUGACCGCCUGGGGAGUACGGUCGCAAGAUUAAAACUCAAAU